rnacentral:rRNA from 1 species
ACGGGUGAGUAACGCGUGAGUAACCUGCCUUACAGAGGGGGAUAACGUCUGGAAACGGACGCUAAUACCGCAUAACAUAUUGGUGUCACAUGGCACUAAUAUCAAAGGAGCAAUCCGCUGAAAGAUGGACUCGCGUCCGAUUAGCUAGUUGGUGAGAUAAAAGCCCACCAAGGCGACGAUCGGUAGCCGGACUGAGAGGUUGAACGGCCACAUUGGGACUGAGACACGGCCCAGACUCCUACGGGAGGCAGCAGUGGGGGAUAUUGCACAAUGGAGGAAACUCUGAUGCAGCAACGCCGCGUGAGGGAAGAAGGUUUUCGGAUUGUAAACCUCUGUCCUUGGUGAAGAUAAUGACGGUAGCCAAGGAGGAAGCUCCGGCUAACUACGUGCCAGCAGCCGCGGUAAUACGUAGGGAGCAAGCGUUGUCCGGAUUUACUGGGUGUAAAGGGUGCGUAGGCGGCUUUUCAAGUCAGGCGUGAAAGCCGGAGGCUUAACCUCCGAAUUGCGUUUGAAACUGUUGAGCUUGAGUGAAGUAGAGGUAG